rnacentral:tRNA from 1 species
GGGCGGGUAGCUCAGUUUGGCGGAGCGUUCGGCUGAUAACCGAAAGGUCGUGAGUUCAAAUCUCUCCUCGCCCA